AGCCUAUAUAGUGAAAUUCAUGUCAGAUUGCAAAUCUGAAGAUACAGAAGAUGUUCUGUUAUGGCUU
rnacentral:tRNA from 1 species